rnacentral:misc_RNA from 1 species
AAGUCGUAACAAGGUCUCCGUUGGUGAACCAGCGGAGGGAUCAUUACAGAGUGUAACAACUCGCCAAACCACUGUGAACAUACCACCGUUGCUUCGGCGGAACGCCCCGGGCGCCAUCGCGCGCGCCCCGGAACCAGGCGCCCGCCGGGGGAAAACAAACCACUGUCUUUGCUGUGACAUCCUCUGAGUGAACAAACAAAUGAAUCAAAACUUUCAACAACGGAUCUCUUGGCUCUA